GAUACCACCCUUGUAGUACUGGGACUCUAACCAUAGGCCAUGAAUCUGGUCUUGGGACACUGUCAGGUGGGCAGUUUGACUGGGGCGGUCGCCUCCCAAAAGGUAACGGAGGCGCUCAAAGGUUCUCUCAGUACGGUCGGAAAUCGUACGUAGAGGGUAAAGGCAAAAGAGAGCUUGAUUGCAAGACAUACAGGUCGAGCAAGGAUGAAAAUCGGACUUAGUGAUCCGGUGGUUCUGCGUGGAAGGGCCAUCGCUCAACGGAUAAAAGCUACCCUGGGGAUAA
rnacentral:rRNA from 1 species